GUCUUAGCCACUGGACCACCAGGGAAGUCCCAAUAGACGAUAUUGACUAAUGCAGUUAUGGAGGCUGCAAGUCCCAAGACCUGCAGUCAGUAAGUUGGAGGCUGAGGAGAACCAAUGGGGGAUCCUGAGAAGUUUCCUGGAAAGCAGGCUCCUCAACUUUCUGUGUGAUGGACAUAUGACAACUGAGGGGAAAUGUCCCUCCCAGGGCUCAAUUUCUCCAGCUGUAAAAUGGGACUGCGAAAUGGGCCAACCUGCAGGCAGGCUAUCAGGCAGAAGCAACGAGAG
ensembl:lncRNA